rfam:Echinostoma caproni strain Egypt genome assembly, scaffold: ECPE_scaffold0007050
GGCCUCGUAGCUCAGCUGGUGGAGCAUGCGCGUACAAAGCGUAGGCAGUGUCCAUGCGUGGGUUCGAAUCCUGCUGAGGCUA